rnacentral:lncRNA from 1 species
GGUAUGGGUGCAUUUUGCUUAUGAAGCACAAGUUUGAAUCAGUUGAAAUGUUCAAUUGAUUCUAUAAUGAGGUAGAAAAAUAAACUGCAAAGAGUAUUAGAACUCAUCUAUUAGAUCAAUGAAGUGAAUACCUUUAGAGUAAGUUUUAGAUGUAUCUAGGAGAGAAUUGGAUUCUCUCACAAUGGACAUCUCCUGAAAUGUUCAACCGAUUCCGUAAUGAGCUAGAA